rnacentral:rRNA from 1 species
GGAUAGGCCGAUGAAAGUUGGAUUAAUACCGCAUAUAGCUAUAUAGUUGCAUGAUUAUGUAGUGAAAGAUUUAUUGGUAUAGGAGGAGUCUGCGGCACAUUAGCUAGUAGGUGAGGUAAAGGCUUACCUAGGCGACGAUGUGUAGCCGGUCUGAGAGGAUGAACGGCCACAAUGGAACUGAGACACGGUCCAUACUCCUACGGGAGGCAGCAGUGGGGAAUAUUGCACAAUGGGGGAAACCCUGAUGCAGCAACGCCGCGUGAGUGAAGAAGGUUUUCGGAUUGUAAAGCUCUGUUAGCAGGGAAGAGGAAGGACGGUACCUGCAGAGGAAGCCACGGCUAACUACGUGCCAGCAGCCGCGGUAAUACGUAGGUGGCAAGCGUUGUUCGGAAUAACUGGGCGUAAAGGAUGCGUAGGCGGUUAAACAAGUUAUAUGUUAAAUAUAUAGGCUUAACCUGUAGAAAGCAUAUAAAACUGUUUAACUAGAGUGCAGGAGAGGUAAGUGGAAUUCCUAGUGUAGCGGUGAA